UCCAUCGCCGGGCUGCCGAGCGGGCGAGGAGGGGAAGCAGCAGCAGCAGGAGGAGGAGCAGGAGGAGGACGAGGACCGGCAGGAGGACCAGCAGCAGCGCAGACAAGUGUCCUCCUUCUCCCCGGGCGGAGGGCUCGCAGCAUCCCGCCAGGCAGUAACAUAAAGACCUGUCAUACAGGGGAUAAGAAAAAAGAAAAAUUAAAGAGAUAGACCAUCUCACUCUGAAGCUAUUUGUACAAAGGUGUUUAUUUACAUAACUAUUACAAGCUACCUAGUCUGAUGAAGUUGAACUUCAAUAUUCAAGAGUGAUUUACUCAAUACAGCCUAAAAUCAUGUUGAAAAAGAAGAACAUAUCUGCAAGCAAAGCUUCCUUAGUCCUCUUUCUGUGCCAAAUUAUUUCUGCAUUGGAUGUACCUCUUGACUCAAAACUUCUAGAAGAAUUGUUGCAACCUCCUACAAUAACUCAGCAAUCUCCAAAAGAUUACAUUGUUGACCCUCGAGAGAAUAUUGUAAUACAGUGUGAAGCAAAAGGAAAGCCACCUCCUAGCUUCUCCUGGACACGCAAUGGAACUCAUUUUGAUAUAGAUAAAGAUGCACUGGUAACAAUGAAACCAAAUUCAGGGACCCUUGUCAUAAAUAUUAUGAAUGGUGGGAAGGCAGAAGCAUACGAAGGAGUAUACCAGUGUACAGCAAGGAAUGAACGAGGAGCAGCCAUUUCCAACAAUAUUGUUAUAAGACCUUCUAGAUCCCCUUUGUGGACUAAAGAAAAACUAGAACCAAAUCAUGUUCGAGAAGGUGAUUCACUAGUACUACACUGCAGGCCUCCUGUUGGCUUACCACCACCUAUAAUAUUUUGGAUGGAUAAUGCUUUCCAAAAGCUGCCUCAAAGUGAAAGAGUUUCCCAAGGUCUAAAUGGAGACCUUUAUUUUUCUAAUGUACAACCAGAAGACAGCCGGGAGGACUAUAUCUGCUAUGCAAGAUUUAAUCAUACACAAACUAUACAGCAGAAACAACCCAUUUCUGUAAAAGUCUUUUCAAUGGAUUCAUUGAAUGACACUAUAGCUGCUAAUUUGAGUGACACUGAUAUUUAUGGUGCAAAGUCAGUUACAGAGAGGCAGCCGGUUCUUCUAACACCAACAGGCAGCACAAGUACCAAAGUGGAACUCAGAGGAAAUGUGCUUUUGCUGGAGUGCAUUGCAGCGGGAUUACCCACACCAGUAAUCCGCUGGAUUAAAGAGGGUGGGGAACUGCCAGCCAACAGAACAUUUUUUGAAAACUUUAAAAAAACUCUCAAGAUUAUAGAUGUUUCUGAAGCCGACUCUGGGAACUACAAAUGUAUAGCAAGAAAUACAUUAGGUUCUGUUCAUCAUGUCAUUUCAGUAACUGUGAAAGCUGCCCCAUACUGGAUAACAGCACCCAGAAACUUGGUCUUGUCUCCUGGAGAAGACGGGACAUUGAUCUGCAGAGCUAAUGGCAACCCAAAGCCUAAUAUAAGCUGGUUAGCAAAUGGAGUUCCCAUAGCAAUUGCCCCAGAAGAUCCUAGCAGAAAGGUAGAUGGAGAUACCAUUAUUUUUUCACAUGUGCAGGAAAGGUCAAGUGCAGUCUAUCAGUGCAAUGCUUCUAAUGAAUAUGGAUACUUGCUAGCAAAUGCAUUUGUGAACGUUCUGGCUGAGCCACCAAGAAUUCUAACUCCUGCUGAUAAGCUAUAUCAAGUCAUUGCAGAUAGUCCUGCUUUGCUGGACUGUGCUUAUUUUGGUUCACCUAAGCCUGAAAUUGAAUGGUUUAAGGGAGUGAAAGGCAGCAUCUUGCGUGGAAGUGAAUACAUUUUCCAUUAUAAUGGAACCUUGGAAAUUCCAGUGGCUCAAAAGGAUAGUUCUGGUACAUACACAUGCGUAGCAAGGAAUGAAUUAGGAAAGAUACAAAAUGAGGUGCAAUUGGAAGUUAAAGAUCCAACAAUGAUUAUUAAACAGCCAGAAUACAAAGUGAUUCAGAGAUAUGGGCAAGUUUCAUUUGAGUGUAUAAUAAAACAUGAUUCUACCUUAUUACCAACAGUCAUAUGGUUGAAGGACAAUGAUGUACUGCCAGAUGAUGAAAGGUUUCUAGUUGGUAAAGACAACUUGACCAUAAUGAAUGUAACUGAUAAAGAUGAUGGAACAUACACUUGCGUAGUUAAUACUACUCUGGACAGUGUUUCAGCAAGUGCUGUGCUUACUGUUGUUGCUGCUCCCCCAACUCCAGCUAUCAUUUACGCUCGGCCAAAUCCCCCAUUUGACUUGGAAUUGACAGGUCAGCUAGAAAGAAGCAUUGAACUCUCAUGGAUACCAGGAGAUGAAAACAACAGUCCCAUAACAAACUUUGUGAUUGAAUAUGAAGAUGGGCUGCAUGAACCAGGAGUAUGGCAUCACCAGACGGAAGUUCCUGGAACUCAGACAACAGUACACUUGAAGUUGUCUCCGUAUGUCAACUACUCAUUCCGUGUGAUAGCUGUCAAUGAAAUUGGCAGAAGUCAGCCAAGUGAACCAUCUGAGCAGUACCUGACAAAAUCUGCAAGCCCUGAUGAAAAUCCUUCUAAUGUGCAAGGGAUAGGCUCAGAACCUGAUAAUUUGGUAAUAACAUGGGAGUCUUUAACAGACUUUCAGUCUAAUGGACCAGGACUUCAAUACAAAGUCAGCUGGCGUCAGAAGGAUGUUGAUGAUGAAUGGACAUCUGUUAUAGUUGCAAAUGUAUCUAAAUAUAUUGUGUCUGGUACACCAACUUUUGUUCCCUAUGAAAUAAAAGUACAAGCUUUAAAUGACCUGGGAUAUGCACCGGAGCCAUCAGAGGUGAUUGGACAUUCAGGGGAAGACUUGCCAAUGGUUGCUCCAGGCAAUGUUCAGGUUCAUGUUAUUAACAGCACAUUAGCAAAGGUGCAUUGGGACCCAGUUCCACUAAAAUCUGUACGUGGACACCUUCAAGGGUACAAAGUUUACUACUGGAAAGUGCAGAGCCUAUCCAGAAGGAGUAGACGGCAUGUAGAAAAAAACAUCUUGACUUUCAGGGGAAACAAGACUUUUGGAAUGUUGCCAGGGCUGGAGCCCUAUAGUUCUUACAAGCUGAAUGUUAGAGUUGUCAAUGGUAAAGGAGAAGGACCAGCAAGCCCAGACAAAGUGUUUAAGACACCUGAAGGAGUUCCUAGCUCACCCUCCUUUUUGAAGAUUACCAAUCCCACAUUGGACUCUCUGACUUUGGAGUGGGGUUCCCCUAUCCAUCCAAAUGGUGUUUUGACAUCAUAUAUACUGAAGUUUCAGCCAAUUAACAACACACAUGAAUUAGGUCCCUUGGUAGAGAUAAGAAUUCCUGCCAACGAGAGCAGCUUGAUAUUAAAGAAUUUAAAUUACAGUACACGGUACAAGUUUUACUUUAACGCACAAACUUCAGUUGGAUCAGGAAGUCAGAUAACUGAGGAAGCAGUAACAAUUAUGGAUGAAGCUGGUAUUCUCCGUCCUGCUGUAGGUGCAGGCAAAGGAUAUUCAGAAACCCUUUUUGCAACCUCCCCAGUCAUGCACACUGUCCGUCCAACAUUCUAUAAGGUGCAACCACUUUAUCCAAGGAUCAGAAAUAUUACAACAGCUGCUGCUGAGACCUAUGCCAAUAUCAGUUGGGAGUAUGAGGGACCAGAUCAUACGAACUUUUAUGUUGAAUAUGGUGUAGCAGGCAGCAAAGAAGAUUGGAAAAAAGAAAUUGUAAAUGGUUCUCGAAGCUUCUUUGUGUUAAAAGGUUUAACACCAGGAACAGCAUAUAAAGUCCGGGUUGGUGCUGAGGGCCUGUCUGGUUUUAGGAGUUCAGAGGAUGUGUUUGAGACAGGUCCAGCUAUGGCAAGUCGGCAGGUAGACAUCGCUACUCAAGGAUGGUUCAUUGGUCUUAUGUGUGCUGUUGCUCUUCUGAUCUUGAUUUUACUGAUUGUUUGCUUCAUAAGGAGGAAUAAGGGUGGCAAAUAUCCAGUGAAGGAAAAGGAGGAUGCACAUGCUGAUCCAGAAAUACAACCUAUGAAGGAAGAUGAUGGGACAUUUGGUGAAUACAGGUCCAUAUCUGCUUGGACAGGAAAGAAACUGGACAAGGAAAAGAAAAGAAAAGGUAGCUGUGCCAGUUCUUCUGAAGCAGACCCUGUCUUUACCAAACCAAAGUCUGUGAGAUCUGACAGAUCCAGCUUCUUCAGAAGGUCAGGGGAUCAAUACUCCAGCACCAGAUCAGAGACCUCCUACACCAGGAGGAAGGCUAGGCAGUCUUCAGAGCUUACAAGGGUUAGUUCUGUCUCUGCUUCCCUCUGCCAAGAGAAAAAAAAGUCAGACGAAUGGAAGUACAGGCGUGGCUCUAGACAUCAUGCUUCUGAGCAACAGAUAAUGGGGUCGGAGGAGGGCUCAGAUUCUCAGGCAGGACAGCCAUCCCCUUUCCAGCAACCCCUCAGCUGCAACUCAAUUCAUGGCUCAAUGAAAAAGCAGCAUUCUCUCCAGCACUGGUUCAGCCAGAGCCCAGACCACAGCUCAGAUUCAGAAGACACUCAGAGCUCCUACCACAGGAAGGUAAGACCUUCUACUACUACUUGCUUCUCUGAAUCUGAAAAGAAUUCAUUAAUGAAAUCUGUAAUAUUGCCUGAACUAGCUACUGUCUUAAAAAAUGCUUUGACAGCAGCCAGACAAAGUAUAACAUCUGUGGCACAGGCUAGGUCCCAUUCAGUAAAGCAUCCCAGGGGACCAGUUACAGAAAUUCCAGUGGUUCCUCUAGAAGCAACUGGGAGCAGUUCCCAAACUUUUGAGUCUGACCAUAUGGACAGUUCAAAAGGUUGGACAUCUUCUGGGAAGGAGAAACAUAAGGCUGACAAGGCUUUGGAGGUUGAGUCAUCUCCUGAAGAUGAGGAUGUGUCAUCUGAAUCUCCUACAGAAGACCAAGAAGAAGGACCAGAUCCUGUGCGUAAGUUUGACAUGGAGAAUCAGAAUUUUCUGUUCAAGCACAUAAAGAGGGUGUUAAUGCUAAAAUAUUCCAAAUCUGAAUGUGCUUCAGAAGAAUUGCCUAUCCCCUCUGAAGAAGGCAAAGUAGAUAAUGCUCUUCCUAUCCAUUCAGCAGUGGAAGAUCUUGUCUGUAGGAUUUGGGGUAAUCCUGAGGCAAAGCAUGAAGCCCCAGCAGUCCUACAUAAACUCUAUCCUCUUCCAGUGGAUAAAGCAGCUUUGUGGGGGAACUUGCCUAAGGUGGACAGGGCACUGGUUACUGAUGAUUCUGUAUUAUCUGUGCCAGCUAAUAGGGAUGUUUUCCCUAAAGAUCCUACUGAUAGAAAGGUUGAGGAAGCAAUUAAAAGAUCUUUCAAGCUAGUUGCAGCCCAGCUUGGAGUAUCUAUCUAUUGCACUUACACUUCUAAAGCAUUACUGAUAUGGCUGGAGGAAGAACGAGCCAGAUGCAAAAAGAAAUGGGUCUCAUCUGGUGCCAUGCAGAGGAAACGCAGGCUAUGUAAAAUUGCAGCUAAUUUUAUCCAUGAUGCAGCUGAGGAUUCUCUUAGACUCACUGUUAAAAAUAUGGCGUGCCUCACUGUAGCCUGGAGAGCUAUAUGGCUACGGCCUUGGACCUCAUCGCUAGAUCUAACAUGUAAACUGCUGUCUUUACCAUACACAGGCGGCAAAUUAUUUGGUGACUCCUUGGUUCAGAUCAUGAAGGAUUUCUCAGAACGCAGAUGCUCCUUACGUCAGCUGAAAAAAAAGAGCUCUGUCAGAAGCUCUUCAUUUUGUUAUCCUCACAAGUGUCUGAGCUCCUUUCGUUCUCCCCCAAAGUUUAAAGGGAGGAAGGGAAAGUAUAAGUCUUCGCAAUUAUUUCAUGCCAAAUAUGAAAGGACAUCUCUCUUUCAGAGAGACACCAAAUCAUCAAGAGGAACUUUCUAAGGAUAUAGACAUGCUUCUUCUUUCUCAGUAAUUGGAAAGAGUGAAAAACUUGGAAUUUUAUUCUGAAUACAAUUCAGUAUUUCUGGACAAGUAAGCCUAAUGCUUAGAAGAUUAGUUGUUUCAAAAUAAGAUUUUAAAAUUAAUUAAAUCUUAAUGACUGACUAAAAUCUUCUAGAGAAUUCAUAGCUUUCAAUUUUAGGGGAGAUUUUUGUCACAUUUAAUUUCUAGGCCUUUCAGUAUUCUUGGUAUGGCUUGGAUUUGUCUGAAGUUCUGCACUCUUCAACUUCAUCUAAGAGUAUAAUUUCUGCAGAACCAGCCAAUUUUGGAUUAUCGUAUCAAUGUAACAAUGGAAAUAAUGCUUUAGGAAGCACAGGUGUUUCAGGAACCUCAGAAUGACCUAGAACGGUAUGUUCCCAUAACUGGAGUCAUACCUGCACUUGUACCUAAUAAGGGGAAACAGUGCCUUUGUAGCAAACUUCACUACAAUCCCAGUGGUUUCUUGAGUUGAAGAAGACUGAGAUGGUGAAUUGUGGACAGUCAAUGCUUACACCAAGAAACUUCAAGAAGUACCACAAAUGUAUGUUUAUUUAAAUUCAAAUUAAAGACUUUCUAGAGCUCCCGUUAAGGACAGGUGUAUAAAUUAGCCUAAAUUUCCAUCCUGGGCCCUAAAUCAAGAGAAAUUAAGAAGUUACAGCAGCUACAGACCUGUGGAUUCCUGGAGAUGGAGAGAUCGCAAGCAUGUGUUUUUUAGUUAACUUCAGAGGAAGUAUGAAAAUCUAGCAUCUCAUUGCAGUCUGCAAAAUGUUCUUAGGAAAAUCAAAUAGGCCAGGCAACUACAGUAGUUGGACUGCUAGCGUGGUAAUGCAGGAUGUUUGCACAUUUUGUUGAUUUAUUUUGCCUCUUUUCUUUAACACUUUGACACAUACAAUAUUUUUCCUAGAAAUUCUUCGAUAUCCUAUGAGAGACUUUCUGGAAAUGGUUAAUGGAGAGUUCCGAGAUUGCUAGAUAAUAUAGUACUCUUCCUUUACAUUCUGGUUGAUUAACAAUGAGAAUAUAGUUUUUUACUAAUUCUCUUGUAGUUAUUCAAGUUUUAUUGCAGCUUAAGGUGUGUUUCCAGGGGGAUUGAGCAAUGAUUUUUUCCUCAGCACUAUAAUUCUAAGCUUGGUCUCGUCUAGUAUAAGAGAUGAUGUUAGUGGACUGCCUGAAGAAUUCUUGUCUCUGAAUAGUCCGAUUGGAUUUGGCAGCAGUCUUAUUGUGUCCUCAUUUAUGCACAUGUGCUUUCUUUGGCAGUUCUUAUUUUAAUUCUUGAACAUCUGUAUUACGGCUUUUUAAAGCAGUGCUUUGAUUUCUCUUUGUAUAAUUUUCCACCAGAAACAGCAAAGGUCGAAAGGUUAUUCAACCCAUUGCCAUUUAAAGCCAGAGCUUAUUCUCCCACUUUUUUCAGCUUCUGCCAGGAUUGAAGAUUGAAUAUUACAGAGAUGCUAAACAAAAACGACUCAGAAAACAAGUACAGAUGUGCCUAUGUCUUAGCUAGAUUAUAAGUAGUAAAAUGUUUUGAACUCUGGAUUGAUCCAGGUGCAUAAGCAUAUAGGGAAAGCAUUUUUCAUCUGCACAGUCCUAUCAGUUUAGGAGCAUGAGCAGAAAUAAACCUGUUAGGUAUUGGGUCAGAGGUUCUCCUGGAGCGUGCAGGGAAGCUAUAGUGUGAGGUACUUGUGACUUUACAUGACUGCUUAUACCUAAAUAUUUCUGGGCUAUUUUCCUGAGGGCACAGAAAAAGGGAUUUAUUGCUAACAGAAUUCCUCUUCUGCAACUUCCUUCUGUGCCCAAUAGCCCAGAAUGCUUUACCCAUUUUGUUUGUUUUAUGUUGCCUUUCAUCUGACAGUUGUGUUAAAAGGAAAAGUAGUAUAUUGCUAACCAUAUAUUGAGUCUUUUUGCAUGUCCAUGAAUGUGGCAAAGUUUAGUGGGAACUAGUUGCCUGCUGGACUGCAGAGGCCUCGUAAAACUGUCUUCCCCAUUCUGACUGGUUGCUGCAUGUAUCCAUAUCUAAGGAGGAAAAAUUGAAAAAUUGAAAGAAGAAAGGAGAUUUCAAGUGAUGCAGAGGACCAUAAACCUCUAAAAAAAGGAAGCCGGACGCCUUCAGACAGAACUGUGAAAAAAGAAGACAGUGAUGAUAGUUUAGUUGACUAUGGAGAAGGUGUAAAUGGUCAAUUCAAUGAGGAUGGCUCCUU